rnacentral:rRNA from 1 species
GAUGAACGCUGACAGAAUGCUUAACACAUGCAAGUCAACUUGAACUUCGGUUUGGGUGGCGGACGGGUGAGUAACGCGUAAAGAACUUGCCUCACAGUUAGGGACAACAUUUGGAAACGAAUGCUAAUACCUGAUAUUAUGAUUUUAGGGCAUCCUAGAAUUAUGAAAGCUAUAUGCGCUGUGAGAGAGCUUUGCGUCCCAUUAGCUAGUUGGAGAGGUAACGGCUCACCAAGGCGAUGAUGGGUAGCCGGCCUGAGAGGGUGAACGGCCACAAGGGGACUGAGACACGGCCCUUACUCCUACGGGAGGCAGCAGUGGGGAAUAUUGGACAAUGGACCAAGAGUCUGAUCCAGCAAUUCUGUGUGCACGAUGAAGUUUUUCGGAAUGUAAAGUGCUUUCAGUUGGGAAGAAAAAAAUGACGGUACCAACAGAAGAAGUGACGGCUAAAUACGUGCCAGCAGCCGCGGUAAUACGUAUGUCACAAGCGUUAUCCGGAUUUAUUGGGCGUAAAGCGCGUCUAGGUGGUUAUGUAAGUCUGAUGUGAAAAUGCAGGGCUCAACUCUGUAUUGCGUUGGAAACUGUGUAACUAGAGUACUGGAGAGGUAAGCGGAACUACAAGUGUAGAGGUGAAAUUCGUAGAUAUUUGUAGGAAUGCCGAUGGGGAAGCCAACUUACUGGACAGAUACUGACGCUAAAGCGCGAAAGCGUGGGUAGCAAACAGG